GAUCGCACACAGAAAGAGCGCGCUAACAGAUGAGACGUGUUUGUAAGCGAAUCUGCAAAAUAGCUUUUUGCAUAAUCUUUAAUCAUAAUUCGGGAAUAAGCACACGCUCCUUUGUUUGCCUUGGAGAUGGCAACAAUGCUCUGAACAGGACAUAAAUGAAAAGAGUUUUCUUUUUUCCCCAUGAUUUUUAACAUUUUUAUUCCAUGGAAUACGUGCGAAGCCUGUUUGCAGAUGCUUCAGAAGAAUGGCUCUUGUUGCAUCCCGUCUGGAUCCCCAUUUUGUCUAGCCAUCAGCCUGUCUGCAAAGACGACAGCCAACGCUGAAAAGGGUCCAAGUGAAGACAAAGCUAGGCUCAAGAGAAUAUGUUGCGGAGGCAACGCUCCCGCCUGCUAGCGUCUCAUAGCUGCCUACGGUCAAACUGGUGUCAAGAUGUUGCCCCAUGCUGAAGGAAGCUCGUAUGUGGCUGUAUUGGGGACUCAGGCAGGCAGCGGAGCUCCAUUUCCCCGCCACAGGCCACAGACUCAUCUUCUCCUUGCUCCUCCCACCGCCCGUCUUCCCCCCACCUCACGGGGCUGGUCGCCAUUCCCUGAGAGCCAGUCACCCUGUGGGGGAUGGAUAAAAGUGCAGAUCAUUUACGGCUGGAUCAUCAACUGGACUACGGAGGCUCGCUAUCAGCCUGACAUAAAGGAAUCCGAAAGGACCUAUCAGCGGGUGGCUAUCAGCAGCCUCGAGGGGUGGUAAACAUCAGUAGGCCCUCAAGAAACUCUCAGGAUGAACUGUACAUGCAGCUACCCUAUAUGAAGAAGGCCAAGUGACAUCAUCAUCAUUUUUACGGCUAAAUGAUGUCUUUAUUUCCGUUUGCUGCUCCCGGACAGUGACAGCGACAGGAGGGAAGCCACACAAGAGGAGAAGAGUCCGGGUGCCAAACACAAACACUAUACUGUGUGUGCAAUUCGAUUUGAGUUUUUGCUGGACUGAGACAAAGUCAAGUAAAUUUGUCCUUUCAUUUGUAUUUAACAAUAUUAAAAAAAAUUCAGAGUUUGGUUUUCUGUAUUUAACAUGUGUUAACAAUAACCAGUGUUGACUACUGAAAAGCAUGUGUUUUCUGUCCUUAAUUACAUCAGUGGUUUGAUUCCUUUAUUUUGUUGUGGGAAUACGUAAUAAAACAACAGUAAUGUAUUUUUUAUCAUCAAGUUAGCCUUUGUUGAGUUCUACCAAACAGUUGAUAAAAACCCCUGCAGCCACAUACCCUGAGAAGACAAUGCAAACAAACUCUUAAUGAACACGAGGAAUCACAGCCAAAUAAAAGAAUAAUAAAGGCGUCAAAAGCUUAACAAGUUUGCCUUUGUUCUUCUUCCACUCCACCCACUGAGUGAAAAGCAGGCAGCUCUCAGGGCAGCUCGGAGAGUUCCAUGCCCAUCGGCCCUCAAUCACAUGGGAUGUCUGAGUUUGACAGUAUAAAGUAUUUCUUCUGAAACAAAAUAAGAGCCCUAAGCAAUGGUGGAUGAGCUGUUAGUAACCACGGAGUCCAUGGGGAGGGAGACUAAGCAUGAUAGUUCACUGUAUACAAAGUGUUGGUUAGGGAUAAGACAAUGGACCAGGAAAACAACACAUCAUAGGAUGCUGCAAUACUCUUAACUUUCUUGCACUGCUACUGCUUGUGGUCCAACAACCUGAUGCAAACGUCAUGAGAGUGAAGAAGAGCUGACUAGACUUAAUUCCAGCCUUGUAAGAAGAGGACACCGUCGGCUGAAUCAAUAAGCAGCAUUAAUACUAGCACGGCUGUCAAUAUGCUCUACUUAAGGUGUGAGGUUAACUGAAAACAAUGAUAUCAAACGAGCAGGCCGCUACCACGCCAGCGUGUCACCGCAUGAACUCCUCCAGCUGUGGGUGGUUAACGAACGCAUGACUGACACGUCUGUCGAUAUUUCAACAUAAGUUAAUAUUUAAACAUGGUGUAUUCCUUCGAGUAACGAGCUGAGGGUGUGCGUCUCAUGGGCGCCCCAGUGGAUGACAGUGGUCUUAUUUAUGUAACAAUGUUCUGUGAGCUACUCAGCUUAUUACAUAGACUUGACUGUAGGUCUAUAAAUACAAUGAAUAAAGCAACAUUGUCGUUGAGGAUAACUUAUUUUGGAUGAAUGUAUCUUAAGGUCAGAAGAUGUUGUAAUGUUGCUAUCAUAUUAAUGAGCAUCCUAGUAUUUGGCCAGCACAGCCUUUGCUGUGUUGGAUUAUUUGUAACUUGCCAACAUGUGUACAACUGCAGUCAAAAUGAUUCAAGCACUACAAAUUGAAUUUAUUUGCAAAAUGUAUGGAGAGUAAUCCCUCGUUUAUCGCAGUUAGUUGUUUCCAGACCCACCCAUGAUGCGUGAAUUUCCGUGAAGUAGAAUUCCUAAUUUAUAAACACUUGUUUAUGACCUUGCCAUGACGGUUUUUAACUUCAUUACACCCAGAUAGUCACCUUCACACUUCACACACACAAAUAAGACUCAUACUUAUGUGUGUUGCUGUAAAUGUGUUCCGGUGGCUGGGACAGGAAAUGACAUCAGGGGUUCAGAGUUUCGUUUUAGUUUGGCUUGGGUUACCGCCACAACAAUAACCCAUGUGUUUUUUAGGGAUUUUUUUUUUAUCUGUUGUGAGCUCAUUCAAACCUUCAA